CUAUUAAGGUUAAUAAGUAAGGAUUGUGCUUUUGAAUCAGAUGUGUAGUGCUAGGGCAAAAAAACAAAACGUGCACCCCUUGGGGUCCCCAGGACCGAUUUGGGGAAAGUAAGUUUAGGGGUUAAGGGUUUUAGCUAAAUAAAAUAAAGGGUUUAGGGCAUGGACGUCCCAAGGAUUCCAGAUUGCAAUUACCAGUCAUUUACACAGUGGUUAUUUAAGGUCUCUACUAGAUAGCACAGCCACAAAGCUAUAUCUUGACUCAAAUAAGCUUUUUGGUCUUAAUGUAAGAUUAGGCAUAUGGUUAAGGUUGGUUUUAAAAUGAAUUUUUAAUAAGAUUAAUUGUAUAAAUAUGACUCUGGUAACAACCGACAUUUAAGUAACUAGCUAGCUAAAUAUAUCAGUAGUUAGUCAAUUUCACGAAGCGAACAUCAGAAGUACAUGAUUCAGGUAGCUAAUGCUAUCUGGUUUGUAGCGUCUAUAGCUAGCUAACGUACUUUCCAGCUUACCAACAACUAGAUAUCAUUCACAACUGAUUUGUUAUUCAAAGUCCAAGUUUGAUUCAAAUCAAAUUGUAUUUCUCACAUGCGCCAAAUACAACAAGAAGCCCUUAACCAACAAUGCAGUUUAAAGAAAAAUACGUGUGAAGUAAAAGAUAAUUAGAGCGUAAGUAAAAUAACUAACGAGGCCAAAAACACAGGUAGCGGUAAAGAGUCAAUAUGCGGGGGCACAGGUUAGUUGAGGUAAUAUGUACAUGUAGGUAGAGUUAAAGUGACUAUGCAUAGAUAAUAAACAGAGAGUAGCAGCAGCGGCGUAAAAGGGGGAGCAAUGCAAAUAGUCUGGAUAGCCAUUUGAUUAGCUGUUCAGGAGUCUUAUGGCCUGGGGGUAAAAGCUGUUAAGCCUUUUGGACCUAGACUUGGCGCUCUGGUACCGCUUGCCGUGCGGUAACAGAUAAAACAGUCUGACUGGGGAGUCUUCGACGAUUAUUAAGGCGUUAGCUAGCACUAAACCGAUGCAACAUUGCAUUGGCGAGUUAGCCAGCUAGGCUUGCUAGCUGUAUAUUUAGCUCAACCUCAUGAGGAAAAUCGAAACCUCUAGCUGGUCAAGUGAACAUUUUAAACGCGAGGUUGCUUGUAUUGCUAGUUAAUGUAGAGUUGGCUAGCCAAGUUGUCUUUAGCUAUAUAACUUGAUGCCAUGUAAAUUAGUGUUUGCAGCUGUGUCAACUUGGCCACAAUCUCUGACUUGGUGAUCCUGAUGAUGAAGCGAGGUAACCACACAUCAGUGGAUGGAGGAGGCAUGGAGCAAAAUAACCUUGGUGGAGCUAGGCAUCUAACCAUCCUUCCAGUCUAUGAGAUUGGUUAAGGUGACUACUAACUAGCUAGCUAGUCUGCAUAACAUUCACUACCUAUAUCUGUACGUUUCUGUAUGUUUUCUCUGGUUAAUUGUAUAGCUAAAUACAAAAUCUGAGCACUGUCUUUUCAGCCAUUUCACUGCUAAAUGGUUCCUCGUCAAUUCAAGGCAGGCAAUAGGUCUCGGAAUGGCAAACGUGGACCCAGCCAGUCCAGCACCCCUCAUCAGAACGAUGCUUAUGCCAGACUCCUCGGCCAACAUCACAGUAGAAAGUUCUGCCCCACAGCAGGGGGAAAAGAAUGGGCCAAACGCACAGAGGCAGGGUCUAGCCCACAGCAACAAACAUGACAUACCGCUGAGAAAAAGGGACCAGGCAUUUAUCGAGUGCUCUGACUCAAGUGACUUCUCGCCUUCACCUAUGAAAGGUAAGGGAGGAGAAGAGGGCUCUCUGUCCUUGUACAUGGACAAGUGGUGUGCUGCAGGGGGUUUCCGAAAAGCAGCCACAGGUGUGCGUAGGGACACCAAAACCAGUCAGGACAGAGAUAUGGAGUCCGGUGAGUAGUUGUGCUCUCUCAAACAGAGGGACUCCCAGCAGCAACACCAGAUGACAAAACGAAGACUACAAAGACCAUGCUUCCAAAGUGCCCACAGGUAACCAAAGAACAUGAGUCAUGGGACGUCUCCCCCAAAAGCCGGUUUAACAGAUUUUUUUUUUUUUAAAUGAACCUUUAUUAGGCAAGUCAGUUAAGAACAAAUUCUUAUUUACAAUGACGGCCUACACUGGACGACGCUGGGCCAAUUGUGUGCCGCCUUAUGGGGACUCCUAAUCACGGCCAGAGGUGAUACAGCCCGGAUUCGAACCAGGGUCUCUUGCACUGAGAUGCAGUGACUUAGACCGCUGCACCAUUCGGAAGCCCACUCGGGAUGCCGAGGAGGACCAAAGAAGACAGUGUUUGAAACGUACAUGACCAUGGAGGACGUUUCCAGCGGCCUAAAGAGAGGAGAGCACAUUCAGGGAUCAAGAAGAAUCAACCCCAAAAAGUAUCAUGAGGCUUUCAUUGCAGCACCUGUGUGUGUGUACACAAACCGAGAGAUACAUGUUUGUUUGGACUGUGUGUGUCUACACAAACAUGUAUCUCUCUGUGUGUGUACACAUUUUUUAUUUAUUUUUAUUUUUAAAUUAUAAGCUGGGCGGUUCCAGCCCUGAAUGCUGAUUGGCUGACAGCCGUGGAAUAUCAGACCAUAUGCCACAGGUUGGUGGAGGAGUUCAUGUUGCUGGCCAACGUGCUCUUCUACAGACACUUCACCUCGCUGCAACGCUGAUGUCAUCGUCCACAGGCUGGCAGACUCUGGGCUGUGGUCCUCUUCUGUAGCGGAGGUGCAGAAGCAGGCAUCCCGCUGUAACGAUGACGUGACUGCCUCCGAGAGAGUCCAGGAGCUCAGCUCUGAGCUGUUCUUCAUCAAGCAAUUCAACAUUGGCUAAUAGUACGGAUGGCAAAGGCAGAUUAGCCACUUGUUGCCUGAUCCUCACAAGGCACCCCGAUCUGUUUCUUUCUCCAGCGAAUGACUGGUUUGAGGCCCUGUUCGGGUGUUUGGAGUAUAUCCUUCCCAUCUGACUCAUUAAAGAAAAAUGAUUCAUCCAACUUGAGGAGAGUGAUCCUUUGGACUCUGGGGCCAUGGUGAUGGGAAUUCUGGACCAGGCAGUUGACGUCCUCGUGCUGCACUACGGGUUGCAGAAACCUAUCUACUACAAAGGUUUACAGGGUCUGGUGACAUUCCAUUUCCACAAGGGAGUUGACUGGUGUGGGCUGUAGAAGAGCCAGCGAGCCUAGUGUAUGGCAGGUAAGAAGACACGGAGGGACGCACGCAAACUACCUGCCCUCCAGGACACCUACAGCACCCGAUGUCACAGGAAGGCCUUAAAGCUCAUCAAGGACAACAACCACCGGAGCCACUGCCUGUUCACCCCGCUAUCAUCCAGAAGGAGAUCUCCAUCUUCAGUCUGGACAGCUGAGGGCAGACGGAGCAGACGGAGCUCCUAUGAAAUACAGCGCUGUAAUCAAGAGGCCUAAUGAGACAUCGUCGUGGAAACUACGAUAACGCACACACAUCGAUAAGACAGACCGAGCUCUGCUGAAUAAGCUUACUUGGACAGUAUUGUGCGCUUGACAACACACACAUGAUCACACACACGUCAUUGCACAUGUUCUUUUGUAUGUAUUAGAAAAGCCUUUUUUUUUAAAUUUAACUUCAUGGUUUAAUUACCAUCGAGGAGCCAAGGCUCUGAAGUAGCACUGAAGCAGUGUUAUUUAAAUACGGCCUGGACCGCUUUGAAAUGAACUGUAAAAGUGCCGAUACUGCAAUGAAUAACGUUUUAUAUUUAGCAGUUUUGACCCUAUGUAAUUUUUCGCAAAAGUAUAUACACAGUCGAUGUGUGAAGAUAGUUUACACCAUGUUUAGUUUAAAUUAAGCUGUUCUAUUAAUGUCGAGUUUUACAGUAACUCAUCAUUUCAGUCGCAAUUCUUUGAUUAGUGGUAGCAGUCACCUUGCAAUAACUUGUUUUUCCCCAUCAAUUCAUAGUAUGACACUGUCCCACUUUAAAUGAAUUACUUUAAAGGUUUAAUAAACCCUUUUUAUAAUGA